rnacentral:lncRNA from 1 species
AUGGCUGAUAGAAAGCCCUCCUUCUCCAAGCUCUCCUGGGGCCCUGCUUUGUCCUGGACAUUGGUGGAUCCUCUCUCCCACCCUGAGCAGAAUAGAGGGGCUGGUAGGGUCCAACAAGCAGGCUGCCAUCCUGGGAGAUCCCUUCCUCGCUCUCAUCCCUACAUCCAGUCAGCCACCAAAUUCAAUCCGCUCUCCAUACAACCUCUCCAGCCUGGUCAGGGCCCCUCUGAUUCUUGCAUGGACUGUUACUCCUGCUUUGGAAUGUUUGCCUCCAGUUUUGUCCUUGUGAAUCUUUUUUCUACAGAGAGAUCUUUCUCAAAAGCUAGUCUGACCACGGACACUCUUGUUUCAUGGCUCUCCAUGGCCAACAGCUGGAGUCUAUUCCCUUUGGCAAUGGCCUUCAAGACCUUUCACCAUGUGACCCAACCUAGCCUUUCCUUUUGUCCAUCCCUUGCAUUCGGACAGCCUAGAGUCCUCCUUAAAAUGCUCUCACGUGGUCCUAUCUUUCCAUCUGUCCCACUAUCUGAAAUUGCCUUUUCUUAUCAGGCGCUGUGUAAAGGCUCAUCUUCUAUGAAGCCUCCCCAUGCUUCUCCCCCCACCCAGUUAGCCCCAGCGUCCCCUGGGCUCCUGCAGCAGGCUGCACAUCCUUCUAUCACAGUCCCUGAACUGUCUGUUGUCCUAGUCUGUCUUCAUGUCUGUCUCUCCCCCCAGGCUGGGAGCUCCUGGAGGGCAGGGCCAGCCCCAUCCCUGAGUCCUCAGCACCCAGCUCACGGCUGGCACAGGGAGGUGCCUUACAACCCUCUGAUACAUUGCAUCUGCCCACAGAAUUGCUUAGUGCUGCUGCCCAGUUACCAAGUUCCUUGUACUUAUUCAUUUAAAACCACUUCCGGGGAGGAAGUGCGGACCAGAAAGUCAAUUAUUCAACCUCCACAUUGUCCAGAGGAGCAACUGUGGCAGGUCCAGAAGGGUCAUCCACCCCAGGUGCUGGGAGCUGAGAUUUCCAUUGCACCUUCAUUAGGCUGCCUUGGGGAAAUAAAUGGGGUUCCCAGAAGAGUGGUGGGAAUUUUCAAGUCGUCCUCGACCCAGUGCCAACAGAAGCAGACGUGGAAGCAGAUGGCGAUGACCAGGAGAGCAUUCACGCUGGAGAGAGCCUAG